UGAGCUUGAUCCUGGCUCAGAUUGAACGCUGGCGGCAUGCCUUACACAUGCAAGUCGAACGGCAGCGCGGGGCAACCUGGCGGCGAGUGGCGAACGGGUGAGUAAUAUAUCGGAACGUACCCUAGAGUGGGGGAUAACGUAGCGAAAGUUACGCUAAUACCGCAUACGAUCUACGGAUGAAAGUGGGGGCUCGCAAGACCUCAUGCUCGUGGAGCGGCCGAUAUCUGAUUAGCUAGUUGGUAGGGUAAAAGCCUACCAAGGCAUCGAUCAGUAGCUGGUCUGAGAGGACGACCAGCCACACUGGAACUGAGACACGGUCCAGACUCCUACGGGAGGCAGCAGUGGGGAAUUUUGGACAAUGGGCGAAAGCCUGAUCCAGCAAUGCCGCGUGAGUGAAGAAGGCCUUCGGGUUGUAAAGCUCUUUUGUCAGGGAAGAAACGGUGCGGGCUAAUAUCCUGCACUAAUGACGGUACCUG
rnacentral:rRNA from 1 species